rnacentral:rRNA from 1 species
UACGUAGGGGGCAAGCGUUGUCCGGAAUCAUUGGGCGUAAAGGGCGCGUAGGCGGCCCUCCUUGUCGCGUGUGAAAGCCCCGGGCUCAACCUGGGAAUUGCGCGCGAGACGGGGGGGCUUGAGUUCGGGAGAGGAGCGUGGAAUUCCCAGUGUAGAGGUGAAAUUCGUAGAUAUUGGGAAGAACACCGGUGGCGAAGGCGGCGCUCUGGACCGAGACUGACGCUGAGGCGCGAAAGCGUGGGGAGCAAACAGG